UCUCCGUAGGUGAACCUGCGGAGGGAUCAUUACAGAGUUCAUGCCCUACCGGGUAGAUCUCCCACCCUAUGUUAUUAUUACUUUGUUGCUUUGGCGGGCCGUUAGGCUCCGGCCCGACUACCGGCCCCGGCUGGUUAGCGCCCGCCAGAGGACCCAAAACCCUGAAUAUUAGUGUCGUCUGAGUACUAUAUAAUAGUUAAAACUUUCAACAACGGAUCUCUUGGUUCUG
rnacentral:misc_RNA from 1 species